ensembl:lincRNA Gm2447 predicted gene 2447
CCAGGUUUGAGCAGCAAGUCCCUUCCUCUGCUGAGCCAUCUUGCCAGCUCUGCCUUUAACUCGUGCUGUGCUGAAAUGAUAGGUGCUGGUGUUUGUGGCCAGUAGGUUGAAUUUCAACUGUCGACUACAGUGUGGCUGUAGAGAAAAAGAGCCAUCCACAGACGUGCCACUGUGAAAAGACCAUCUCUUUUCAGCAUGGGACAGGAGAGCUGAGUUGCAGACUGGAACACUUACAGAUAUUGUUGGUUUGACCUGGACAAGAACCCAGAGACAGAAAACCUUAUGGGGGAAGGUACCAUUGCAGCCACCAUGGGUCAGAGGAAGAAACUGAAGCAUACAGAGGGAAGUUAUCUUUCCAAUGCUGUAUCGCAGGCUGCCUGCUGUGUGUUCAUCAGCAAGCAGAACGCACCGAGAAGGCAGAGCCCAAGGUCAGUCCCUUGUUUACUGAAUAUAAGAGAUUCCCUGUGGCAUGUCACACAGAUGGAGACAGGGCAUCUGGAGACACCCUACUCAUAAGCAAGGACAGUCAUCUCGGUUCUUGGAAGGGCACUGGGAACCUCACACCAAGGGCAGGCACCACCCACUCUGGUACUUCUGCCUUCUAAUCUCACUCAGGAGAUCCCUCUGUGUGUCGGGAUGCUGAGGUAAAUCAAACUUCCUAGGUCUGAGAACUAGGGCAACUGGGUGCUCACUGAACAUAGAAAAAAAACACAAUCAGCUAUUUGUUUCUGUGUGUUCUGUUUCUGUGUAUCCCACCAACUCCAAGUGGAAAAGAGUCCUGGAUAUAUUGCAUUCAUAUUGCAUCUGUAUAGGCUGUCCCCCAUCCUUCAACCCUAAGCAAUGUGAUCUUUAUAUUAUAUAAGGUAUGAGGAUGUGACUAAGUAUCCAGCAAGAUAUGCAGAUGCACAGAUUAAACACAAACCCGUUGCUACCUUCUAUUAAAGGACGUGUAUAUCUUCAGAGCUUGGUAUUGGAGGGCUGCUGGCCCUCUCCUCCUGCAGAUGCCAAAAGACACCUAUGCCUUGUUUUAUGCUGCAGAUACCUUGACAGACAAGCUAGUGCAAGAAAGGUGUGGAACUUUACCCACUCCUCCUCUUUUUUCCUUGCUCUUAACUAUUUUUGACCAAAAAGUGUUCGUUGCCUGAGUAGAAUUAGGUCAGACCGAAGCUGAAUAUCAAGCUGACAGAGGGGGAGCUAAGCUAGUGCCAGCAUCGACUAAACGAGGAGUUAAAAAGAAAGUCUCACUCUGAAUCCAAAUAUGGGAAUUUAGAAAGGAAAGGGCUAAUAUUAGACUGCACAAGAAUUAGUACAAAAAGGUACGUUUGUUGCCAGGAACUGGGAGUUUUGAUCCAUCUCCGUAUUUUACUGUGCAAGAGCCAUAAUGUGUGGGUGUCUAGAGGGUCAAACAUUAACUAUUAAGAUAAAAAGUAUUAUUAUUUUAGUUUGGAAAAUCUUGAAAAGUCGCCCUCAUCAUUUCUCUUCAAAGACACAGCCUGACACACGUUACUAUUGCAGGACCAUUUCUUAAGAGUCUUUAUAGAGUUGCUCUGCCAUCAAGGGAACAGCUCCCAACAGCCUCGCUUUCGUAUAGAAAUAACAAUCUCAUUAAUGAUGCUAAGUUUAUAUUGUAAAUACAUUAUCACCCCUCUCACACCAACUGCUAUGUUAAAAAAUAAUUACUAAUUGGUUUCAGCAAAUGCAUUAUAAAAAGGUGGCUAAUUUUAACUAUUUUCCUCCUCUCCGUUUUAGAACAACAACAACGAC